UACGGGGGGGGCAAGCGUUGUUCGGAAUUACUGGGCGUAAAGGGCUCGUAGGCGGCCAACUAAGUCGGAUGUGAAAUCCCCAGGCUUAACCUGGGAACUGCAUCCGAUACUGGAUGGCUUGAAUCCGGGAGAGGGAUGCAGAAUUCCAGGUGUAGCGGUGAAAUGCGUAGAUAUCUGGAGGAACACCGGUGGCGAAGGCGGUUCUCUGGGCAUUACCUGACGCUGAGGAGCGAAAGUGUGGGGAGCGAACAGG
rnacentral:rRNA from 1 species